UCGUCAGAUUUUGGUGUUCCGAUGAUGCUCUCUCCAGUCGCACCGAUGCCUGCGGUUGCUACUUCUGCUACAUGGCCUGCACAGCUUCAGUGAGGCCUUUAACCUGCUGAGCCAGUAGGUCGAAUUGCUCCGCACCAACUACCAUCGUCGGGGGAGGAAGAGGAGGCUGGAAAAUUGGAGGUGAGGCUUGAGCCUGAGAUCUAGCCGCAGAAGCCAUAGAUCACCGCGGGGAUGCUCUGCAGGGCGGCAUCGGGCGAAAAUCUAGCAGAGGAAGGAGAAGAGGAUGCCGGGGA
rnacentral:lncRNA from 1 species